CAAAACAAUACCUAAUCCAACUACUUACAUUCACCUUCUCGACAUCUACUGUUCAUCUUGCUCAUCGACUUCUCAUUCAUCUCCAAUGGAGUUUCGGGAAAGCUAUUCUAGACGAAUCGUGAUGAUGAUUCCCUGGAUCAAGAAAUUUUGGUGUCGUUUCAUCUCUGGUCUUCUCCCCGGAACCGUUACUAUGAAGUGAUUGUCUCCCAUUAACUACCUUCUUAACUCUUUCGAUCCACUACAACCAUGAUUUCAAAUUCAAUGCAUCUUCCUUCUCUUCAAGAUGGUGCAUCUACAACUAUAAAAGGUUUAGUGUUCAACAUUUUUUUUUCUUAUAGAACACGACAGAUACCAUGAUCAAGGAUAGAAUCAGUCAUCAGAAACUGAGUCUUCAUCAAGCCUUCAGUCUAAAAACCCUUCUUGCAGAUUAUUGCUUUUAAUAGCGUACAAAGGUACACAUAUCUCCCAGCACCAUCAUAUGCACAUACACAAAAAGAUCUCUACUUUGUUUGAUUGAUAAGAAGGCCAUGUUCUGCAUCCCAAGGAUUGGGUGACUCAUCAUCAUCAUUCCUUCACUUCCUUGAACUAUAGUAUACUUCAUGAUAUCUGAUACUAACGACUUUUGCAGAUACAAUAGGUGGGUCUGUUUGAAUGCACGUAGUGGCUUUGGUAGUUUCUGUUGCCUUUGAGUUAUCUUCCCUUGAUGAGUCAUACUGUGCUUCAGUGUCGAUUGAUGUCGUUUCGGGAUAGCUUCUUACUUUAGCGUUCCAUCUCUUUAUUUCCAUUCACGUUCUUAGAAAGAAUUUAUUGUGUCUAAUUAAUGAGUUUCUUACUAGGUACGAUUUUCUGGACUUUAAGCUAAUGAUGUAUCUCAUUUGUAUGUGUGCUUCUAAAAUUGGGAUACAUUCCUCUUUUGAGUUUAUGUGGGAAUUUAUUUUAAGGUUAUAGGUCAUAAUUGGAUCGGUAUUACAUUGGCCUUCAACGAAUCCUAAUUCAAAAUGUGAACAUAGCUACAUUCGUUUAUGAAGCACUCAUACUUUUCUCUAUUGUUCCAGCCUCCACAAUUAGACUUUCUCGAGUAAUGAACUGUCAUGUUCUUCUUUUUGCAGCUACAUUAUUCGCUGAAACACUUUGCGGUCAGUAGUUUAUCUACGUGUGCACCGAACUGGUGUCCACUUGUCAGUCCUAAGCGCAGUUUUAAUUGCAAGUAUGGAUGGCACUGUGUAGGAUAAACAACCUAAGCGGAUGUUGUCUUUUUGUGUGAAUGAAGGCUAAGGUUCGUAAGGCUUUAUCUAAGAACUUGAACGGUUCUCAAGCAAACUUGCACGGUUCUCAAGCAUAGGGUUUGGUUGCUGAGGUAAACGACAAGAAAAUCUCUGUGAGACUCAACACUAAAAUCAAAUGGAGUCUUCCAAGAAAACCGGUAAAGCAGUGAAGCUAGCUCUGCUGCGAUCAGGUGCUGCAUCUCCAGCCUUUCCCUCUGUUGUUAAUCAUGGACAGACACUGAAUGUGGUAGAAGCAGUUUAAGAAGUUGCUGGAUUGCCGUUGAAGAGAGUAGAAGUUUGUAUGGCAAGAAAGUUCAAGAGGUAGGAGCUGUGCUGUUGGAUGAAUUUCAGAAGGCAGUGUUGGGCAUGGAAGGAUCUAAUGUGGUUUGCAAGUGCAUGGGGAGUGUUGAGAUCAAAAACGUUAAGAGUCGUAAACGAGAUUGACGAUGUGAUGGUCCAUUUUUUCAUAUCUACAACUUGAAUAAACUAUAAUGUAUAGCUACAAAAUACAAACAUUUACACUAAAUGAUGUGUAAAUAUAGACUUAUAACUAGAGUGAAUUCCAAAUGAAACUAUGAACCGCCAAAUAGUAUAAG